CUUCAAAUGCUCUAGAGAAUCUUCGUCCCCGAAUUGACAUAAUCAAAUGCCCAUCCUAAAAUUGAUAAUUUCUUCGUCGUUCUUCGAUUUUGCUGAAACACACAACUUUUUGUUGUUGUUCUUUGAAUUUUCUCAGGCCUUAGCUGCUAUCGUCAAUGAUGGGAAGAUGGCCAAGUAUGGACAGAAAAUUGUCAAGGGAAACCUAAACUCAAGAUGCCAAGAUUAAGCGCCAUUUGGAAGCUGAGGUAGAUAUGAGGCUCUUCUGCAGGUUAUUCCCCCGUGAUCAGGCAUUCGACAAAGAAACUCUAAUUCAGCUAUGGUUAGCAAGAGGUUUUAUAAAGGGUGAGCACAAGAAUCGUAUUGCCAACCUCUUUUUUCAAAUUCUUUUGUCUACUGGUUAUAUUUUACAUAUCGGAACAUGCUUUGCAAGUAAAAAGGAUAACUACAUAAGAAAUGUAAAUAUGUUAAGGAGUGAUACUACUAGUACAAUAUGUGACAGGAUGGUAGAGAAUGUAGACAGUCAUAGAUUCGAAGCUUCUAAUGGAGACCAACAUGUGUCGUUGGUGGGUGAUGACAUUGAUGAGACCCGUCUUAAGGAUAUGAAGGAGUUCAAAAACUUGAAAGCACUUUUACUUCUUUGUGACAAUGCUUCCAACAUCAGCAAAAUACCUCAUGAAGUGUUUUUUGCUCUGAAGUUUUUGGAGGUAUUGCAUUUGGGUGGAACUCAUAUAACAGAGUUGCCAUGUUCAAUAGGAAAUUUGACCGAACUAAGAUAUCUAGAUCUUUCACUUACUCUUAUAGAGUUACUGCCUGAGUCAGUAGAGAAUCUUUCUAAGUUCACUUUGGUGAUGUAGGAUUUUGUUGACUAAUGAAUUACUCUUACUCUAUGGUCAGGUAACACUAUCCUACUAGCUCAAUUGGUAGAGCAUUGUGUUAAUGCACAAAAGAUGUGGGUUCGAAUCCCACGUAGGUUCAUCUUUACUUUUUGUAUUAUUUUAUUUACUUUUAGUUUGAAAACCUUUACUUUAGCCUCCAUAUAUUCUAAUACUCGGAGUUUCUAUGCUAUACAAAUACUUUUGAAUUUUUUUUUUAUUAACUUUUGAGAUUUUUUAAUUUACUUUUGAGGUGAUAUUAUUUACUUUCGAUUUUUUUUCUUUUUUUUUUAUGCUCCUCUUGUUCCUGUAGCAGUCUGGUUUGCUGGCAUAUAUCAGCAUGCUCUCAUUUCAGUUGUGGGUCGUAACUGCUUGUUGUUUUGGGUUGGGGUUUGCUGUCCUCCAGGGUCUUAAAUCCCACAUAGGUUCUUUUAUAUUUUUCAAUUACUACUCGCCUUGUUUCAUUUACUUUUAAAUAGUAAACCUUUACUUUUAAGGGGAUGUCGUAUUUGCAGCUACCAAGUGAAUAGAGUGAAGCUAGAUUGUCGAACACCUUUGAUAAUAACCUUUGAAUGCGGAGGGCAUGGCCUGUUAGCGACAAAAAUACAAUUUUUUUAAUUUACUUUUUGAGAUUAACUUUUGAGAUUUUCAUGUUUACUUUUAUGAUUUUCUUAUUUACUAAUGAGGUUUUUAAUUUACUUUUGAGUUUAUUAUUUACUUCAGAGUUUUUUUUUAUGCGUGUAAAUCACCAACCUAUGUAGGAAUUGAACCUACAUCCAUGUGCAAUGGCACAUUGCUCUCCCAUUUGAGCUAAUAGGUUUCGACUUGAUAUUAUUUUUUAAAAAAUAUUACAAUAUUCAAAGUUCCAUUAUUAUUUAAUUUACUUUUAGAGAGAUUUAGUUAACGUUUAGAGAGAUUUAGUUAACGUUCCCACAAUUUAGUUACUUUAUCUGUUUGGUGGUUGGGUCAAAACACCAUCUUAAUUAAGCUCAAAGAUGUCAUUCGUAUUUAUGGCAAAGGCUCGUACAAGUUCAGAUCAAGCUUCACGAAUGAAUGUACUUUUGAGCCUAAUUAAUUUACUUUUACAAAGUUUUGAUCUACUUUUAACAUAAGAGAAAAGAAUACUUUACCCUUAAGUUUUGAAACGCUAACUGGCAUACUAAAACCAACAGCCAACAGAAGAAGCAGGGUGCACUGCUGCACUUGCUUAAACUAACUGCAAACCCACCCCUCACUUUACUACAAAUGAGCAAAUCACCAGCAGCCUCAACGAGUCAGACUUCCAAAAUGACCGACUGUAGGAGGCUACCAACCAGCCAACAGCUGACUGCCUGCAGACUCAGACCAGACCAGCACACCAAACUGGUCCAACAUCUAGCAUUAUAAACCGGAUUCAAGCUGGAAAAAAUAAGCAAUAAACAUCAAACUUCAACAAACAUCCAAGCCUAAAGUGCAGUCACAGAGCUGCAGGGGCACAUUAACACCCAAUAAUGCAUAGUCCAACCAUACACCAGGUACUAGUACCAAAAUACAAAGGCUAGUAGUCUAGUACACUACCAUUGUACUAGAAAAACAAGCUAAUGCCUUCUGUUAACACGAACAAAACAAUCACAUCCAAUCACAGCCACAGAAACGCAUAAUACUAACAAUUUGUAGCAAACACUAACAAAAGGAUUGUUUGGGGUCAUGUCAUUCUUGGAAAUAUUGGCUGCACCACGUCAAGGUGGUGGAUUGAGACUAAAGGUGUGACUGGAUGUGCUCCUUGCAUCCCCAAUAGGUCUCUGUUCACAUCAUACUGCAUUUAGAAAUUAGCAUCACAAUCUUAUAAGAAUUCAUAAUUAUCUUAAUGGAUUUACUUCUCAGACAAAUUGAUUUACUUUUCUCAAAUUUUGAUCUACUUUUUCAAAUAAUAGAAGAAUACGAUAAGACUUUUACACGUAGUCACCAACCCAUGUAGGAUUUGAACCUACACCCAUGUGUAAUGGCAUAUUGCUCUACCAUUUGAGCUAAUAGGUUUCGACUUUGUAUUUAAGAAAAAAAUUAAAAUCAAAGUUCCAUUAUCUUUUAUUUUACUUUUAGAGAGAUUUCAUUUACUUUAAGAGAUAUUUAGUUUAAUUUUAGAGAGAAUGUAUGUACAAGUGGGAAAAUCAUCCACCAAAAAAACCAACAACCAAAGAAAAUAAACCUACCAACAAACAAGCAGAAAGACCUAGCAAGAAAGCACAACAAAACAAACCAACGGCACAGUCACCGGAAAUGAACUAUGGCACAACUGACUGCUCACAUUGACCAGAUCUUUGAGCUUGACUAACAACCUACACCAACAUCUGAUUUAUCACAACACCCUAAACAGGCUGCAAACUUAGCACCUGAACCCCACAGCCAUACCCAACCAAAGCCAAAACCAACUGCUGAAAUACAGCAGCAGAAUGCAGAUAAGAACAGCAUACUAAGAUGGCUGCAUCACUCUCAAUGAACUUCACAGGCAACGUAGAAGCACAAGAAGCAAAAAAAAAAUACCAGCAAGACAGAGACCAAGAAGUUUAUUCAGAAGCAUACAUCUGAUUGAAAAACCCAUUGGCAAACUCCGGGGUGGAAGAAAUAAUGAUCCUAAGUCACAGAUUUUAUAAGCUUGUUCUCAGGGCAAAUGAGCUUUUUGCCUGCAGGACCCUGCAGAUGCUGGUGACCUUAAGCAUAAUUUAGAAGGGACAUUUGAAAGAGUGAGAUUAUUUGCAUUUAUCUUAACAUUUUAUUGUCCUGCACCACAGAAGCACUGCCUAUUUUCUUGCAGGAGAGAGAAAUACUCAUGAAGGAGAUCUCCUCAGGGAGCUACCGAGUCUCAUCUUAUGUCAUUGCAAAUGCCGUAGUCUACCUCCCAUAUUUACUCAUCCUAGCCAUCUUGUUGACAGUUCUAGUGUAUUGGUUGGGGCUAAGCGUAAUUCUCAGCAUUCGCACACUUCUUGCUGCUUAUAUGGUUGAUUCUCUAAACUGCUAAUCCUGUUGUGGUGUGUUUCAGUGCACUGGUGCCAAAUUUUAUAGUAGGAAACUCGGUCAUUUUUGGAGUAUUGGGUUUUUUUUCUGUUCUUUGGCUACUUUAUAUUGAAAGAACACUGUAGGUGCGGUAGGAAC